rnacentral:rRNA from 1 species
AUUGAACGCUGGCGGCAGGCCUAACACAUGCAAGUCGAGCGAGCGGCGGACGGGUGAGUAAUGUCUGGGAAACUGCCUGUUGGAGGGGGAUAACUACUGGAAACGGUAGCUAAUACCGCAUACCAUCAGAUGUGCCCAGAUGGGAUUAGCUAGUAGGUGGGGUAACGGCUCACCUAGUAGACGAUCCCUAGCUGGUCUGAGAGGAGGACCAGCCACACUGGAACGCAGACACGGUCCAGACUCCUACGGGAGGCAGCAGUGGGGAAUAUUGCACAAUGGGCGCAAGCCUGAUGCAGCCAUGCCGCGUGUGGGAAGAAGGCCUUCGGUUUGUAAAGCACUUUCAGCGGGGAGGCGUUACCCGCAGAAGAAGCACCGGCUAACUCCGUGCCAGCAGCCGCGGUAAUAC